CGGCGGACGGGUGAGUAACGCGUGGGUAACCUGCCUCAUACAGGGGGAUAACAGUUGGAAACGGCUGCUAAUACCGCAUAAGCGCACAGUACCGCAUGGUACGGUGUGAAAAACUCCGGUGGUAUGAGAUGGACCCGCGUCCGAUUAGGUAGUUGGUGGGGUAACGGCCUACCAAGCCGACGAUCAGUAGCCGACCUGAGAGGGUGACCGGCCACAUUGGGACUGAGACACGGCCCAA
rnacentral:rRNA from 1 species